CUCAUCAUUGGAAUCUGGCAGUGUUGCACUGUCCGAGUUGUAGAUGAGGAGUAGCCCAUCUGGACUGCAUGGCAUCCAAGUACAAUAGGCCGUCAGUGGGACAUCAUAGAGGGUGACAAUCCCGUCCUUGAUGCCAAUGUGCAAGUCCGCUUACGAUGGCUAUCUCAGAGAGUCGAGCAGUUUGGGAUUUGCUGCUUAAACAUGGGAGGUAGAUUCCUUCUAAAGCUAAAUACAGGCGAGAGACCGAUAGAGAACAAGUACCGCAAGGGAAAGAUGAAAUAGAACUCUGUGAAGGGAGUCAAAAGGCGUGAAAUUGUUGCGAGAGAAGCGAUUCAAGUCAGCGUAGCUAGGCCCAUCAAGCCUCUUUGCUUUGGACUAGCUUUGCCAGCGGUCUUGUCCUAGAGACUUGACUUUGUAUUAACAUGUCCAGCCUGGUAUACACAGGUAGCCCCUCUU
rnacentral:rRNA from 1 species